GAAUAUUAGUCAAUGCUCGAAAGAGUGAACUAGCUAACUGAAAUCAAUUAUAAUAAUUGAUAACAUAAGGGAAAAUAAUGAUAUUACCUUAUUAUUAGUGUCGUCAAAAACUGGUGCCAGAAGACUCGGUAAGGCCUGAGACACAAACGUUAAUCGUCUUAAUCAGGCGUAAAGGGUUUGUAGGCGGCUUUUAAAUUAACUUAUUAAUACAAAAAUAAAUAUAAAUAAGUUAAGAAUAAAAGCUAGAAUCAAAUAGAGGAUAUAUCAAAUAAUGCUUAGAGUAGGUCUGAUAUCCUUAGAUACUAAGUAGAAUAUUAAAGGCGUAAGCUUUUUUCCAUUAAUGAUUGACGCUCAGAAACGAAGGUGAGGAUAGGAAAUAGGAUUAGAUACCCAAAAUACCCCUCUCUGUCAACGAUGAAUGGUAGUUAUUAGUAAUAAUUUAUUAAUAGCAAUGUUAACACGAUAACCAUUCCGCCUUGUGAGUACAACUGCAAAGUUGAAAACAAAAAAAUUAGUCGGUUUCGGAGCAAACGAAGUGAAGCAUGUUAUUUAAUUC
rnacentral:rRNA from 1 species